rnacentral:rRNA from 1 species
AUUGAACGCUGGCGGCAGGCCUAACACAUGCAAGUCGAACGGUAACAGAAAGCAGCUUGCUGCUUUGCUGACGAGUGGCGGACGGGUGAGUAAUGUCUGGGAAACUGCCUGAUGGAGGGGGAUAACUACUGGAAACGGUAGCUAAUACCGCAUAACGUCGCAAGACCAAAGAGGGGGACCUUCGGGCCUCUUGCCAUCGGAUGUGCCCAGAUGGGAUUAGCUAGUAGGUGGGGUAACGGCUCACCUAGGCGACGAUCCCUAGCUGGUCUGAGAGGAUGACCAGCCACACUGGAACUGAGACACGGUCCAGACUCCUACGGGAGGCAGCAGUGGGGAAUAUUGCACAAAGGGCGCAAGACUGAUGCAGCCAUGCCGAGUGUAUGAAGAAGGCCUUCGGGUUGUAAAGUACUUUCAGCGGGGAGGAAGGGAGUAAAGUUAAUACCUUUGCUCAUUGACGUUACCCGCAGAAGAAGCACCGGCUAACUCCGUG